rnacentral:rRNA from 1 species
CGCUGGCGGCAUGCCUAACACAUGCAAGUCGAACGAGACCUUCGGGUCUAGUGGCGCACGGGUGCGUAACGCGUGGGAAUUUGCCUCGGGGUAUGGAAUAACUCAGGGAAACUUGAGCUAAUACCAUAUAAUGUCUUCGGACCAAAGAUUUAUCGCCCUGAGAUAAGCCCGCGUAGGAUUAGCUAGUUGGUGGGGUAAAGGCUCACCAAGGCGACGAUCCUUAGCUGGUCUGAGAGGAUGAUCAGCCACACUGGGACUGAGACACGGCCCAGACUCCUACGGGAGGCAGCAGUGGGGAAUAUUGGACAAUGGGCGAAAGCCUGAUCCAGCAAUGCCGCGUGAGUGAUGAAGGCCUUCGGGUUGUAAAGCUCUUUUACCCGAGAUGAUAAUGACAGUAUCGGGAGAAGAAGCUCCGGCUAACUCCGUG